GCGACGACGGGUAGCCGGCCUGAGAGGGCGACCGGCCACACUGGGACUGAGACACGGCCCACACUCCUACGGGAGGCAGCAGUGGGGAAUAUUGCACAAUGGGCGAAAGCCUGAUGCACCGACGCCGCGUGAGGGAUGACGGCCUUCGGGUUGUAAACCUCUUUCAACAGGAAAGAAGCUAGAGUGACUGUACCUGCAAAACAAGCGCCGGCUAACUACGUGCCAACAGCCGCGGUAAUAC
rnacentral:rRNA from 1 species